rnacentral:sRNA from 1 species
UAGAAACAAUUCUGGCCAAACUUGUGAA